rnacentral:rRNA from 1 species
GUCGUAACAAGGUCUCCGUAGGUGAACCUGCGGAGGGAUCAUUACACAAAUAUGAAGGCGGGCUGGAACCUCUCGGGGUUACAGCCUUGCUGAAUUAUUCACCCUUGUCUUUUGCGUACUUCUUGUUUCCUUGGUGGGUUCGCCCACCACUAGGACAAACAUAAACCUUUUGUAAUUGCAAUCAGCGUCAGUAACAAAUUAAUAAUUACAACUUUCAACAACGGAUCUCUUGGUUCUGGCAUCGAUGAAGAACGCAGCGAAAUGCGAUAAGUAGUGUGAAUUGCAGAAUUCAGUGAAUCAUCGAAUCUUUGAACGCACAUUGCGCCCUUUGGUAUUCCAAAGGGCAUGCCUGUUCGAGCGUCAUUUGUACCCUCAAGCUUUGCUUGGUGUUGGGCGUCUUGUCUCUAGCUUUGCUGGAGACUCGCCUUAAAGUAAUUGGCAGCCGGCCUACUGGUUUCGGAGCGCAGCACAAGUCGCACUCUCUAUCAGCAAAGGUCUAGCAUCCAUUAAGCCUUUUUUUCAACUUUUGACCUCGGAUCAGGUAGGGAUACCCGCUGAAC